rnacentral:lncRNA from 1 species
CUAAUCUUUUAGUAUGACAGAAAAUGUUACUUGCAUACUGAUUUAAUAGAUACCACAAAACGAAGACGAAGCAAAACGAGCUAGCAAGCCAAGCCAAAUCACCAGGCCAAGUCAAGAGGAUAAUUUAUAUGAAACAACGUUCCAGUCGGUGUGAAUGCACACCAGGUUCUCCUGUCUUUCAUCUCAUGCUAGCUGAGCCACUUUGAGAGAGAAAACAAAAUCAUUCUCAGACUUGUUCUUAGCUGCUUACCACCAGUGUUAGAGGCAGCACAGUACCUCUUGUGUUUCGUUUCCUACUGUAUAUUUAAUGAAACAGCACACUGAAAUCACAGCUUUGAUAUUGGACUGGGUAUUUCAGAGCCAAAUUCUCUUCUCCUGCCAUUUAAACACAGCUUGUUGCAUACCUGCAGGUUUACAAGUGAAACCCAGCCAUCCCCUUCUCCGUGCUUUGCUGGGACAGCACAGGGAUCCAUCUGAACUGUUGUGCUGGGUUCAGCAGACAGCAGCACCUGGAGCCUCAGUGCAAACAGUAAAAACUCGGCCCCUGCCUCAGAUACUCUUAUUAAACAUAUUGCUUCUCUCUCAUCUAAGGAAAUACUCUAUCAGGGGACAGGCAGCAUCGGCGCGCCGCAGCACUGAUAUGGGAAGAAAAUUGCCACAGUAUAUUGUAAUCUGGAAUAAAACGGAGUGGAGCCGAGCAAGGAGGGGAUAA